rnacentral:rRNA from 1 species
GGAAAGAUUCAUCGGUAUGGGAUGGGGUCGCGUCCUAUCAGCUUGAUGGCGGGGUAACGGCCCACCAUGGCUUCGACGGGUAGCCGGCCUGAGAGGGCGACCGGCCACAUUGGGACUGAGAUACGGCCCAGACUCCUACGGGAGGCAGCAGUGGGGAAUAUUGCACAAUGGGCGCAAGCCUGAUGCAGCGACGCCGCGUGCGGGAUGACGGCCUUCGGGUUGUAAACCGCUUUUGACUGGGAGCAAGCCCUUCGGGGUGAGUGUACCUUUCGAAUAAGCACCGGCUAACUACGUGCCAGCAGCCGCGGUAAUACGUAGGGUGCAAGCGUUAUCCGGAAUUAUUGGGCGUAAAGGGCUCGUAGGCGGUUCGUCGCGUCCGGUGUGAAAGUCCAUCGCUUAACGGUGGAUCCGCGCCGGGUACGGGCGGGCUUGAGUGCGGUAGGGGAGACUGGAAUUCCCGGUGUAACGGUGGAAUGUGUAG